rnacentral:rRNA from 1 species
ACGAACGCUAGCGACGUGCCUAAGAAAUGCAAGUCGAGCGAGGUUGAGGAGCUUGCUCCGAAAGCCUAGCGGCGAACGGUCGCGUAACACGUAAGCAACCUGCCCUGAAGUGGGGGAUAGCCCGCCGAAAGGCGGAUUAAUACCGCAUGUGAACACCUUAUCGCAUGUUUGGGUGUUUAAAGCAGCAAUGCGCUUCAGGAUGGGCUUGCGGCCUAUCAGCUAGUUGGUGGGGUAACGGCCUACCAAGGCGACGACGGGUAGCUGGUCUGAGAGGAUGGUCAGCCGGACUGGGACUGAGACACGGCCCAGACUCCUACGGGGGGCAGCAAUUAGGAAUCUUGCGCAAUGGGCGAAAGCCUGACGCAGCGACGUCGCGUGACCGAUGAAGUCUUUCGGGAUGUAAAGGUCUUUUACAGGGGAAGAAGGAUGUGACGGUACCCUGGGAAUAAGCCCCGGCUAACUACGU